AGGUAACCAUGAAGCAGACUAGCAGCAGCAGACCAACAUUCGAGUAGGACCAGAAGCUGCUUGUUUGAUUUUGUUUAUUUUGAUACUUUUGUAAAGUUAUCAAGUUGAUAUGUAACUUCAUUUCUAGAGUUAGUAGGAUUUGAAUAUGGUGCAUGUAAUAGCUAAUUUAUUUCAGCUUUUAACUUGUAUUAUUUUAGUUGGCAACUUGCCAAAUUGGUGGGAGGAGUUACAAGUUUAGGUAA
rnacentral:lncRNA from 1 species